GUAGCUCAGUUGGUUAGAGCAAUAGAUUCAAGUGUAGGUUCGAAUCCUACCAAGA
rnacentral:tRNA from 1 species